UCAGGGAGGAAUAAAAUGACGUGUACCUGAAGAAUAAGCAUCGGCUAACUCCGUGCCAGCAGCCGCGGUAAGACGGAGGAUGCAAGUGUUAUCCGGAUUUACUGGGCGUAAAGCGUCUGCAGGUGGUUUCUUAAGUCUGCUGUUAAAUCUUGAGGCUCAACCUCAAAUCUGCAGUAGAAACUAGGAGACUUGAGUAUAGUAGGGGUAGAGGGAAUUUCCAGUGGAGCGGUGAAAUGCGUAGAUAUUGG
rnacentral:rRNA from 1 species